rnacentral:rRNA from 1 species
UACGUAGGGGGCAAGCGUUGUCCGGAAUCAUUGGGCGUAAAGAGCGUGUAGGCGGCUUGGUAAGUCCGCUGUGAAAGUCCAGGGCUCAACCCUGGAAUGCCGGUGGAAACUGUCAAGCUUGAGUCCGGAAGAGGCGAGUGGAAUUCCUGGUGUAGCGGUGAAAUGCGCAGAUAUCAGGAGGAACACCAAUGGCGAAGGCAGCUCGCUGGGACGGUACUGACGCUGGAGACGCGAAAGCGGGUGGGAGCAAACAGG